UUUUAUUUAUGAUUUUUUGUUUUACUAUUAGUCUGUUUCUGUUAUCUGUAAAAAAGAAGUAAAUAUAUGCCUUUUAUCUUGUUAACUAGGUUAAGACCCGCGCCUUGCGCGGGAUGAACAUUAUAUAUAUAAAUUAAUUUAUAUAUUAUAUGUUUAUAACAUAUUAUGAAAUAAUAAAUAUAUAUUGAAUAAUUAAAAUGUCAUUAUGUACUACUUAUAUAAUUAAAUUGGUAUGAACAUAUAAAUAAAUCUUAUAAAUCGAAAAAAUAUUUUUUCUAUUUGAUAUGAUAUAUAAUUAAAUUUAAAUGAUAGUAACAUAUAUAUGAUAUAUUUUAAUAUUAAUAUUU
rnacentral:lncRNA from 1 species